rnacentral:rRNA from 1 species
UACAGAGGGGGCAAGCGUUGUUCGGAAUUACUGGGCGUAAAGGGCGCGUAGGCGGCCUGCUAAGUCGAACGUGAAAUCCCUGGGCUCAACCCAGGAACUGCGUCCGAUACUGGUUGGCUUGAAUCCGGGAGAGGGAUGUGGAAUUCCUGGUGUAGAGGUGAAAUUCGUAGAUAUCAGGAGGAACACCAGUGGCGAAGGCGACUCGCUGGACAGACAUUGACGCUGAGGUGCGAAAGCGUGGGGAGCAAACAGG